CUUUUGACCAUAAGCGUUGCAAUAGCUAAAUAAAAUAAGCUAUAGCAACGCUUAUUUUAUUCCCUCCAUUUUCACAAAAACUUUUCAUUCAUUCCUCCAAAAAAAAAGAAAAACAUUUUAAUAAACCUACAGCUUAAACUUUCAUAUUGUACAAUUUUAUUUCUCUCUUAGCUCUAAACCUACGGGAUGGCUACAGUAUAGUCAACGAUUAGGCUGCCAACUUUCUCUUACCUUAAACCUACGACAUUGCUACAGUAAUUGACGAUUAGGGCUGCCAAGUUUUCUCUUCGAUUAGCUGAUAUUGCUACAAUAAUCGACUAUUAGGGCUGCCAAGUUUUCUCUUCGACUAGCUGAUAGAAUCGCUACAAUCAACAAUUAGGACUGCCGGGUACUCUUUCAUUAGCUGAUAGACUCGUUACAAUCGACGAUUAGGGCUGCCGGUGUACUGUUCGCUAAAAUCGCUAACGACAGUCGCUACAGUUGCUACAAACUAUUCAAUCUUGUGGAGAUGAUCUAAUAGUGAGCUGCCGGUGGUGAGCUCUAUGGGAUUUACUGGAGCCGCUUCAAAAAUCUAUUUGUGUUGGAAAGGCAGACCGAUUUUGUACAACAAUUUCUCUCAAAUUUGCACUUCAAUUGCUUCAAUUUUGGAAUUUUAAGGCUUGCCACCACGUUACAGUGACUUCAUUAGGAAAAUCACACCUGGAUUGUCUCUUUUCUUGUACAACUACUCAACUUAUCAGUUUCACGGAGUUUUUGAGGUUGCUAGCUUUGGUGGCUCAAACAUUGGUCUGUCUGCCUGGACAAGAACCCUUGUGAAUCUUGCUUUCCUGCUCAGACUUAAAGAAUCAUGAAUCAGCAAGGGUGUUCGAGAAAUCAUCAGAAAGCUAAAAACUUUCUUUCAGCUGGAUCACUAACAGCUCUACGAAAUAAACAAAUACUAGAACACAAGAAGAAGAAGAACACAAGAUGCAUAAAUGCAAAGGAAAAAAAUCAAAAG